UACAUAGGGUGCAAGCGUUAAUCGGAAUUACUGGGCGUAAAGCGUGCGCAGGCGGUUAUGUAAGACAGGUGUGAAAUCCCCGGGCUUAACCUGGGAACUGCAUUUGUGACUGCAUAGCUAGAGUACGGUAGAGGGGGAUGGAAUUCCGCGUGUAGCAGUGAAAUGCGUAGAUAUGCGGAGGAACACCGAUGGCGAAGGCAAUCCCCUGGACCUGUACUGACGCUCAUGCACGAAAGCGUGGGGAGCAAACAGG
rnacentral:rRNA from 1 species